GACUCGUCACACUAUCAUUAACUGAAUCCAUAGGUUAAUGAGGCGAACCGGGGGAACUGAAACAUCUAAGUACCCCGAGGAAAAGAAAUCAACCGAGAUUCCCCCAGUAGCGGCGAGCGAACGGGGAGGAGCCCAGAGCCUGAAUCAGCAUGUGUGUUAGUGGAAGCGUCUGGAAAGGCGCGCGAUACAGGGUGACAGCCCCGUACACAAAAGCGCAUGUGCUGUGAGCUCGAUGAGUAGGGCGGGACACGUGGUAUCCUGUCUGAAUAUGGGGGGACCAUCCUCCAAGGCUAAAUACUCCUGACUGACCGAUAGUGAACCAGUACCGUGAGGGAAAGGCGAAAAGAACCCCGGCGAGGGGAGUGAAAAAGAACCUGAAACCGUGUACGUACAAGCAGUGGGAGCCCCACCACUAAGCCAGUGGUGAACUCCACAUACGCAUCCUUUGCUGAGGAUACGGUUAACGGAGCGAAAGCGACGUUCAACCGCAAAAGAAGCAGAGGGGGCUUAGUGGUGGGGUGACUGCGUACCUUUUGUAUAAUGGGUCAGCGACUUAUAUUCUGUAGCAAGGUUAACCGAAUAGGGGAGCCGGAGGGAAACCGAGUCUUAAUUGGGCGUUAAGUUGCAGGGUAUAGACCCGAAACCCGGUGAUCUAGCCAUGGGCAGGUUGAAGGUUGGGUAACACUAACUGGAGGACCGAACCGACUAAUGUUGAAAAAUUAGCGGAUGACCUGUGGCUGGGGGUGAAAGGCCAAUCAAACCGGGAGAUAGCUGGUUCUCCCCGAAAGCUAUUUAGGUAGCGCCUCGUGAAUUCAUCUCCGGGGGUAGAGCACUGUUUCGGCUAGGGGGCCAUCCCGGCUUACCAACCCGAUGCAAACUGCGAAUACCGGAGAAUGUUAUCACGGGAGACACACGGCGGGUGCUAACGUCCGUCGUGAAGAGGGAAACAACCCAGACCGCCAGCUAAGGUCCCAAAGUCAUGGUUAAGUGGGAAACGAUGUGGGAAGGCCCAGACAGCCAGGAUGUUGGCUUAGAAGCAGCCAUCAUUUAAAGAAAGCGUAAUAGCUCACUGGUCGAGUCGGCCUGCGCGGAAGAUGUAACGGGGCUAAACCAUGCACCGAAGCUGCGGCAGCGACGCUGAUGCGUUGUUGGGUAGGGGAGCGUUCUGUAAGCCUGCGAAGGUGACCUGUGAGGGUUGCUGGAGGUAUCAGAAGUGCGAAUGCUGACAUAAGUAACGAUAAAGCGGGUGAAAAGCCCGCUCGCCGGAAGACCAAGGGUUCCUGUCCAACGUUAAUCGGGGCAGGGUGAGUCGACCCCUAAGGCGAGGCCGAAAGGCGUAGUCGAUGGGAAACGGGUUAAUAUUCCCGUACUUGGUGUUACUGCGAAGGGGGGACGGAGAAGGCUAUGUUGGCCGGGCGACGGUUGUCCCGGUUUAAGCGUGUAGGUGUGUGUUCCAGGUAAAUCCGGUUCACUUUAACACUGAGGCGUGACGACGAGGCACUACGGUGCUGAAGCAACAAAUGCCCUGCUUCCAGGAAAAGCCUCUAAGCAUCAGGUAACAUCAAAUCGUACCCCAAACCGACACAGGUGGUCAGGUAGAGAAUACCAAGGCGCUUGAGAGAACUCGGGUGAAGGAACUAGGCAAAAUGGUGCCGUAACUUCGGGAGAAGGCACGCUGACACGUAGGUGAAGUGAUUUACUCAUGGAGCUGAAGUCAGUCGAAGAUACCAGCUGGCUGCAACUGUUUAUUAAAAACACAGCACUGUGCAAACACGAAAGUGGACGUAUACGGUGUGACGCCUGCCCGGUGCCGGAAGGUUAAUUGAUGGGGUCAGCGCAAGCGAAGCUCCUGAUCGAAGCCCCGGUAAACGGCGGCCGUAACUAUAACGGUCCUAAGGUAGCGAAAUUCCUUGUCGGGUAAGUUCCGACCUGCACGAAUGGCGUAAUGAUGGCCAGGCUGUCUCCACCCGAGACUCAGUGAAAUUGAACUCGCUGUGAAGAUGCAGUGUACCCGCGGCAAGACGGAAAGACCCCGUGAACCUUUACUAUAGCUUGACACUGAACAUUGAGCCUUGAUGUGUAGGAUAGGUGGGAGGCUUUGAAGUGUGGACGCCAGUCUGCAUGGAGCCGACCUUGAAAUACCACCCUUUAAUGUUUGAUGUUCUAACGUGGACCCGUUA
rnacentral:rRNA from 1 species